rnacentral:rRNA from 1 species
AUGACGAUGAGGAAGCGCCCCUCCUCGUCCUCUCUUCUCGUAGCACCGCUGCUGCUUAUGCUUCUUCCAGCGUUUGCUCUUGCUGCAGGGAGGCACACCUUGAUCACUAGAGACCCUCUAUACGGCCCACGGGCUAACCCAAAUCCAGAACCACUACCAGGAAAACAACCAAAUCCAAAUCCUCAACCAUUGCCAGACCCACAACCACUGCCAGGACCACGACCAGACCCAAACCCGCAACCACUACCCGAUCCUAAACCUAAUCCAAACCCACAACCACUGCCUGAGCCACAACCUGAUCCAAAUGCUCAACCAUUACCAGGACCACACCCUGACCCAAAUCCACAACCAUUGCCAGGCCAAAACCUGCAACGGUUGAUGAACCCAUGGCCAAACCCAAACCCGCAGCUACUACCAGACCCACGGCCAAACCCAAACCCUCGUCCAUUACCAGGACCGCAGCCUGAUCCAAAUCCACAACCAUUACCAGACCCAAACACAAAACCAUUGCCGGACCCACAACCAAACCCAAACCCUCAGCCAUUACCAGGACCGCAGCCUGAUCCAAACCCACAACCAUUUCCAGACCCAAACCCGAAACCAUUNNNNAACCCACAGCCAAACCCAAACCCUCAACCAUUACCAGGACCUCAGCCUGAUCCAAACCCACAACCAUUACCAGACCCAAACCCAAAACCAUUGCCGGACCCACAACCAAACCCAAACCCUCAGCCAUUACCAGGACCGCAGCCUGAUCCAAACCCACAACCAUUACCAGACCCAAACCCACAACCACUGCCUGGACUGCCGGACCCGAAUGCACAACCAAAACCACCACUUGGGACACAAGCGGAAAAGGAAAAUGUGGAAGCACACAUCCAAGAGGAGCCGCUGGGAUGA